GCACUCCUGAGGAGUCCCAUAAUAGGACGAAACGGCCGUCCAGUGC
rfam:Schistosoma rodhaini strain Burundi genome assembly, scaffold: SROB_scaffold0000367